UACCAGCACCCCGAGUGGUCGGGACGUUUAUUGGGCCUAAAGCAUCCGUAGCCGGUUCUACAAGUCUUCCGUUAAAUCCACCUGCUCAACAGAUGGGCUGCGGAAGAUACUAUGGAGCUAGGAGGCGGGGGAGGCAAGCGGUACUCGAUGGGUAGGGGUAAAAUCCGUUGAUCCAUUGAAGACCACCAGUGGCGAAGGCGGCUUGCCAGAACGCGCUCGACGGUGAGGGAUGAAAGCUGGGGGAGCAAACCGG
rnacentral:rRNA from 1 species